rnacentral:lncRNA from 1 species
AAUCCAGGUAGCAGCCCAGCGUUGUGCCUUGCACCUAUAAUCUCAGCACUUUUGGGAGGCUGAGGUGGGUGGAUCCCUUGAGCCCAGGAGUUUGAGACCAGCCUGGGCAACAUGGCGAAACCCCGUCUCUACAAAAAAUACAAAAAUUAGCUGGGCACAGUGGUGUGUGCCUGUGGUUCCAGCUACCUGGGAGGCUGAGACAGGAGGAUCGCUUGAGCCUACGGAGGUCAAGGCUACAGUGAGUCGUGACUGCAUCAUUGUACUCUAGCCUCUGGGCAACAGAAUGAGAUCCUGUCUCAAAAAUAAGAAAACAAAAUAAAAUAAAAUCCAGGUAGCCCUUUCUUCUCAGGUCUCAGCUGAGAUGUCCCAUCCUGGGAAGGCUGAUGCUUUUCAGCCCAGCUUGGGAGGCCUGCCCCCCACCUAUAUUGAGCUUCCCUCCCUUCCAGGUACUAAUACUCCAGGAGCACUGGGAUCUGCUCAUUUUCAUUGUGACGCAGCAGUAUUUCAGCCAAGUUUGGAAUUAAAUAUGCCUUUAUGUGCUGGCAUAAAAAGCUAUCUACCAUUCCUAGGAAAACAGCUUCUAUUCCAAACAGCUGACUUCCAAAGUCCAGAACAUAAUCUAUUUGUAAGCUGCGUGGCUGCCUACACAGUUCCAGCCCCUUUUCUCUCACCUCCCAGCUAAUCAAGUAAUCUUUUGUUUCCUGAGCCCAUUCUGUGGAGAGGAGUGUAAAUCAAUCAACAGCGAAGGCCUCCAAAGCCUGCAAGCCAGGAUGAGCAGGAACAGGCCAAGGGCAAUGGUUCUCAAACUUCAGCCAGCAUCAGAGUCGCCUGGAAGAUCUAUCGCAACAGACUGCCAAAGAUCUGGGGUGCAACUCAAGAACUGGCAUUUCUAACCUUCCUCCUAGUGGAAAAUUUGCCUUCAGAAAAAGAUGGCCCAAUCCAGGGAAGAGCCACUGGCCUAGAGUAUAUGGGACAGAGGUACAGGGAGGUAACUAGAUGUUCAGAAUCCUCAGCAGCCAGCCACAUAACCUAACUGGUCCAAAACCCACCCUCCCCUGGGAUGGAUCAUGAAGGAGUAAACAGCCCUCCUUGGUCUCUUCUGCCUUAAUCUGCAGGCAGAGAUUACACCCUACCAUGAGAUGAACAAUUGCCUUGGAAUAGGUCAGCAUCAUGUGCCAUUUUAUAAUUAUAUCUACA